GCAACACAGUAGAGUGACAGAUACCUCCAGAGCUCACUUUUCCAGAGUCAGUGAACAGUAAACAUGCUGAGCUGCUUCUCAACUUCUCAAGGCAAGAGCCACAGGACUUCAGGCAGAGAAAGCAUCUUUGAACGACUUAGAAGAUGGUUCACUCCAUCUAGACGCUUCAGGCCACAUUGCAGGAGCCUCUCAACCAUCAGGGAAAACCCAGGCCAGGUCUCCCCAGGCAUGACUACCACGAACCCAGAGCCACCAAGGAGCCUGGGGCAAGUCUCCCGAAGCUCACCCGCCAGAAUCAGGAAGAUCCCAGAAAGCCCAAGAAACGUCUCCCCAGGGCCUGGCACUAGGCACCCCAAGACACUAAAGAGCCAAGAGCAGGUCUCCUUAGGCCCAGCUUCCAAGCACCAAAAGACUCCAAGGGACCUAGGGAAGAUCUGCAAAGGCCCUGCUACCAGGGGCCCAAAGCAAGCAAGGAUCCCAGUAAAGGUCUCCUCAGCCCUGACCACCAGUCACACAGAAAAAUCGAGGAACACAGGAGAAGCCUCCUUAGGCCCAACUCCUCAGGGCACAAAGACACCAAGGAGACCAAGGCAGGUCUCACCAGGCCCAGCCACCCAGUGCUCAGAGAUACCACCUAGCUCUGGGCAGGUCUCCCCAGAGCCAACAACCAGGAGCCCAGAGACCGCAAGGUUUGACACCAACGGUCCAGGUGACAGUAGCCCAGAGUCACUGAGUAGUGCAGGGGAAGUCUUCCCAUGGGAGGUCUUCCCUGGCCUAGCCAUUUGGUCCCCACAAAGACCUAGGAGCCCAGGGGAGGUCUUCCCAGAGGAGGUUUUUCCAAGCCUGGGCAUGAGAAACACCCCAAGACCUAGGAGCCCAGGGGAAGUCUUUCGAGAGGAGGUCUUCCCAGGCCUGGCCAUGAGGCUCCAACAAACACACAGGAGCCCAAAGGAGGUCAUUCCUGAGGAGGUCUUCCCAGAGUUAGUCUCCAGGCGAUCAAAGACAGAAAAAGGAAAGGUCUUCUCUGGGCUGUCAAUACGGUGCUCAGAGACAGUAAUGAACCCAGACAAGGUCCUCCCCGGCCUGUCCACCAGCCACCGAGAGACACCAGGAAGCCCAACACACGUCCACUCUGGCCUGGACACCACUAUUGGAAAUCACUACGCUGGGAGCCUGGCAGAAGACUCGCUAGUCUGGCUGGGGCAAGCAGUCACGCUGCACUCCCUCACAGAGCCUCUGAUGCCAGCUUUCCCAGAAAGCCAAACCUUCCUUGGUCCCUCCUUCCCGAGCACCACCAGGCCCUGCACCUUCGCCCAACAGGCCAAGAUGAUGGGAAGGGUUGUCUCCUUCCUCCUCAACUCCUGGCUGGAGAUGCACACCCAGGUGGACCUCCCAGCCCACUGUCCUCUGACUCAGCUGUAGCAUCCCCAACCCCACUGAGGAAGAGAGCAAGGGUGAGAGGACCAGGGGCCAGCUGCAGCCCAAGCUCAAGUCCCACCGCAGAGCCGGUGUCAGCUCUACCUGCAGCUCCCUCACCAGCUCUAGCACUGAAAUGAGAACCAGCAACAAGAACCACUUCUCCACCAGCUCCAUACCUGGGGUCCCUUGUUCCACAGCUGAUGUCACUCCUGACCACCACCUGUGGCCAGCUCCUGCUGCACAGCCACCCUUCUGCUCCUUGGCUGUUGCAGUUACUGUUAUAUUUACUCAUACCUUUAAUUCCCAG
ensembl:lncRNA